AGCUGAGUUGAUCCUGGCUCAGGACGAACGCUGGCGGCGUGCUUAACACAUGCAAAGUCGAACGAUGAUCAGGAGCUUGCUCCUGUGAUUAGUGGCGAACGGGUGAGUAACACGUGAGUAACCUGCCCCUGACUCUGGGAUAAGCGUUGGAAACGACGUCUAAUACUGGAUACGAUCACCGGCCGCAUGGUCUGGUGGUGGAAAGUAUUUUUUGGGUUGGGGGAUGGACUCGCGGCCUAUCAGCUUG
rnacentral:rRNA from 1 species